rnacentral:lncRNA from 1 species
UGAAUUUUACUGUUGGAAACAGAAGAGUUACUUUAAGAAAGCUAUUUUGUUGAUCAGAUAAACUUUUUUGAGUAAUCUCAGUUUUAGAGGUGUUUUGCUAGUCCUAUACAAAAAGCACAAAAUGUGGGAUUCUUGCUUAUGGUUCAGAAAAUGUGUUUUUUUUGUUUGUGGAUUGUGAAUCUGUUUCUCCUAUGUUUUCCUAUAUUGAUCAUUGAGUUAUUUAAUUGCUUUUUAAUGUAUUAGAUGAAUAUAAUUGUAAUUUUUUCUUAAUUAGCUUAAAAGGUUUAUUAUAGGAGAAAUCUUUAUUAGUUGAUGAAACUGGUAAAGUUUGCCCAAACUUUUAAGGCCUAAGAUUUAUUUCCUGUCUCCUCAUUAUUGUAUGUGUUGAGCACGGGCUCUGAGGGCUCCCAAGCCAGCAGUUUCUUAGCCCAUUCUGAGAAAUCUGGAAGAGCUUUUAAUUUGUGGCCACUUACAGAGAUUUUCAGUUAUUUUGUAGAAUGUUCUUUUUUUCCAUGAGUACAUGGAAUUAUACAUGCUUGUGAAUGCUAGAAUACAAAUAUUGCUUCAGUUAAGUUGUGUAGACCUUUCAGCAAUUCAUAAGAAGAGAAGUAGACACUGGGUGAAGGUGAGGACUGUGG